AAUGAACGUUGGCGGCGUGGAUUAGGCAUGCAAGUCGAGCGAGAAGGAACCACUCACUUGAGGCUGUUGGCUAAGAGUUAAUAGCUGACAGCUUCGAAGUGAGUGGUUCCGGAAAGCGGCGAAAGGGAGAGUAACGCGUAGUUACGUACCCCGGGGUUCGGAAUAGCCAGCCGAAAGGCUGGGUAAUGCCGAAUAAUGUCCCCGGACCAAAGGUGUGAUUCCACCUCGGGAGCGGACUGCGUUGUACUAGCUUGUUGGUGGGGUAAUGGCCUACCAAGGCGACGAUGCAUACCGGGCGUGAGAGCGUGGCCCGGCUCACUGGGACUGAGACACUGCCCAGACACCUACGGGUGGCUGCAGUCGAGAAUCUUCGGCAAUGGGCGCAAGCCUGACCGAGCGACGCCGUGUGCGGGAUGAAGGCCUUCGGGUUGUAAACCGCUGUCAGUAGGGAGGAAAUCUGUGAGAGUUCUCUCUCAUGGUUGACCUAUCUUCAGAGGAAGUCAGGGCUAAGUUCGUGCCAGCCGCCGCAGUAACAC
rnacentral:rRNA from 1 species